rnacentral:rRNA from 1 species
AUCAGUGAAAACGAGUAGGGCGGGACACGUGAUAUCCUGUCUGAAUAUGGGGGGACCAUCCUCCAAGGCUAAAUACUACUGACUGACCGAUAGUGAACCAGUACCGUGAGGGAAAGGCGAAAAGAACCCCUGUGAGGGGAGUGAAAUAGAACCUGAAACCGUGUACGUACAAGCAGUAGGAGCACCUUCGUGGUGUGACUGCGUACCUUUUGUAUAAUGGGUCAGCGACUUAAUUUUAGUAGCAAGGUUAACCGUUUAGGGGAGCCGUAGGGAAACCGAGUCUUAACUGGGCGUACAGUUGCUAGGAUUAGACCCGAAACCAGGUGAUCUAGCCAUGGGCAGGUUGAAGGUUGAGUAACAUCAACUGGAGGACCGAACCGACUAAUGUUGAAAAAUUAGCGGAUGACUUGUGGCUAGGGGUGAAAGGCCAAUCAAACCUGGAGAUAGCUGGUUCUCCCCGAAAGCUAUUUAGGUAGCGCCUCGGACGAAUACUACUGGGGGUAGAGCACUGUUAAGGCUAGGGGGUCAUCCCGACUUACCAACCCUUUGCAAACUCCGAAUACCAGUAAGUACUAUCCGGGAGACACACGGCGGGUGCUAACGUCCGUCGUGGAGAGGGAAACAACCCAGACCGCCAGCUAAGGUCCCAAAGUAUAGCUAAGUGGGAAACGAUGUGGGAAGGCUCAGACAGCCAGGAUGUUGGCUUAGAAGCAGCCAUCAUUUAAAGAAAGCGUAAUAGCUCACUGGUCGAGUCGGCCUGCGCGGAAGAUGUAACGGGGCUAAGCUAUACACCGAAGCUGCGGCUACGUACCUUAGGGUAUGUGGGGUAGGGGAGCGUUCUGUAAGCCGUUGAAGGUGGUCUGUAAGGGCUGCUGGAGGUAUCAGAAGUGCGAAUGCUGACAUGAGUAACGAUAAAGGGAGUGAAAAACUCCCUCGCCGGAAGACCAAGGGUUCCUGUCCAACGUUAAUCGGGGCAGGGUAAGUCGACUCCUAAGGCGAGGCCGAAAGGCGUAGUCGAUGGGAAACAGGUUAAUAUUCCUGUACUUCUUACAAUUGCGAUGGGGGGACGGAGAAGGCUAGGUGGGCCUGGCGACGGUUGUCCAGGUUCAAGUACGUAGGCGGGUGGUUUAGGUAAAUCCGGACCGCUACUAACGCUGAGAUACGAUGUCGAGCUACUACGGUAGUGAAGUCAUUGAUGCCAUGCUUCCAGGAAAAGCCUCUAAGCUUCAGAUUGUAAGGAAUCGUACCCCAAACCGACACAGGUGGUCGGGUAGAGAAUACCAAGGCGCUUGAGAGAACUCGGGUGAAGGAACUAGGCAAAAUGGUACCGUAACUUCGGGAGAAGGUACGCUCUUAUCAGUGAAGUCCCUUGCGGAUGGAGCAGACGAGAGUCGCAGAUACCAGGUGGCUGCAACUGUUUAUUAAAAACACAGCACUGUGCAAAAUCGUAAGAUGACGUAUACGGUGUGACGCCUGCCCGGUGCCGGAAGGUUAAUUGAUGGGGUUAGACUUCGGUCGAAGCUCUUGAUCGAAGCCCCGGUAAACGGCGGCCGUAACUAUAACGGUCCUAAGGUAGCGAAAUUCCUUGUCGGGUAAGUUCCGACCUGCACGAAUGGCGUAAUGAUGGCCACGCUGUCUCCACCCGAGACUCAGUGAAAUUGAAAUCGCUGUGAAGAUGCAGUGUACCCGCGGCUAGACGGAAAGACCCCGUGAACCUUUACUACAGCUUGGCACUGAACAUUGAACCUACAUGUGUAGGAUAGGUGGGAGACUUUGAAACCGCGUCGCUAGAUGUGGUGGAGUCGUCCUUGAAAUACCACCCUUGUAGUUUUGAUGUUCUAACGUUGG